AUAUAUAUAUCAAACUUCUCUUGUUGAGUGGUUUUGGAUGUGGGGGUUUGCUGGCCACUUAAAUGGUUCAGCUCCCCUGAAAUGCAUUAGCAGAACAACCCUGUUCAUUGGUGUGAUAAUUAUCUACGCUAUUGAAUGUGAGGGGGGCAGUUCAGCUUUCUAACAGUCCUUGGACAAUUCAUCAUUA
rnacentral:misc_RNA from 1 species